GCCUCGCGGGUGCAGUGGUUCUUAACAGUUCAACAGUUCUUUAGGCUAAUUGUGAAAUGUUUAGGACCACUUGACCCGCG
rnacentral:pre_miRNA from 1 species